rnacentral:rRNA from 1 species
UACGUAGGCAGCGAGCGUUGUUCGGAGUUACGGGGCGUAAAGGGUGUGUAGGCGGUUGUUUACGUUUGGGGUGUAAUCUCCCGGCUCAACCGGGAGGGUGCGCCGAAUACUGAAUGACUUCGAGUGCGGGAGAGGAAAGUGGAAUUCCUGGUGUAGCGGUGAAAUGCGUAGAUAUCAGGAGGAACACCGGUGGUGUAGACGGCUUUCUGGACCGUAACUGACGCUGAGACACGAAAGCGUGGGUAGCAAACAGG